UUCUAGAGGAAUAACCGAGUAACUUAAAAAAAGAUGCUCAGUCCCAAUAGCUUUGUAUAAAACACUUCUAUCUCGCUCUUCCUAAAACAGCCAAUUAAUUGGGCUGUCUGGAGAACGUUUUCUUUGCUUACUUUUAAGAAAUUUCUAAUUUGUUUCGUCUGUCAGCCGGUGUCUGAGAGGGAGCUUGGUGCAAAUUCAUUACAAUCAACCAGUAACGUAUUCUUGGGACUGGGAAAAAAGCCCAUGCAAUAGAUGAACAAUAGGGUCUUCAGUUCAUCAGCAACAAAAGAAUCGGGGAAGUUGCUUGACUUUCAAAGCACGUCUUUCUCCACAGAGGGCUGGGCCAGACCUCGGCCAACCCCAAAAACUUACAGACACUCUCACACCAGUUCACUUUUCCUUUCGGUUAAGGAGACACAAUACGUUAAAUGGAAGGUUGUUUUUUUCCUCGUCUAUGUGGAUGGAAUAUGUUCCACUCAAAGCAACUGAAGCACGUAUAAUGAGUUUGGAAAAAGCGGCAAUUUUAAAUGAGCGGGUGACGAGAGAUGAUUUAGGAAAGCGAGUCUGUAAGGUUGAUCGCUGGAUGCUUUUUUUUUCCUUUUCGCUGUGUAAGGACUGUAAAGAAACCUGCUGCACUUUUCUGACGAAACUUCUUUUCACAGUCAUGAAUGAUCAUAGUUUUGAAGAGAUGACCGUUGCUUACUAUCCACUGUAAAAGAAUGGCAAAAUUGACCUGUUCAGAAUUAUUCCCGGAAUUAGAUCAGCAUGAGGUCCCCUCUGCCAAUCCAAGAUAACAGAAUUCUUUGGUGAAAAAAAAAGUUCACUAUUACCAUAAAAGUUGAAGCAACAGUGGAAAAGAUGGACAAAAGAGUGGGAACGCAGGAGGUGUCACAAGGAGGUAGCAUAUCCUAUAUGAUCAUCUGAAACUGUCUGAUGGUCCACAGUGCCUUAUGGGAAGGAUGAUCUAUUAAAGUGGUUCACUUCAUAUGAAAAGCAUCUCAAGAAGCUUGUGUAGCCAAUUCUUUCUUUGGUCAUAUGUUUGUUAAAGCAACAAGCAUUUUAUAAACUAUGGAUUUUGGAUUAGAAAACUAUUUUGUAUGUUCCAACUUUGUUCUGUUCAAACUAAUGCAAACCUAUUGAGUUUAUUUGGUAAUAAAGCAAAAUAGAUUCAAACAAUGUAAUAAAAUACUGAUUUAUGUAAUUACAUCCCAGAACUUUUAUAAUAAAUGAUUUUGAAAAUAAUA